UCGCAUGUAGUUCAAAGGGUAGAGCAACCGGGCGUACGCUGAACCGGGGAAUGUGGGUUCGAAUCCCACCAUGCGGGC
rnacentral:tRNA from 2 species